CUCACCUUGGUGUAGUUGGUUAUCACGUUCGGCUGUAAUAUCAAAUGUAACCGAAAGGGUAAGUCAAACUUAUUGUAUCUUAGCAUUCCUAACAGCAACCAGUCCCCGCUUCGAUUGCGGGAGGUGAGA